GACGAACGCUGGCGGCGUGCCUAAUACAUGCAAGUUGAGCGAUGAAGAUUGGUGCUUGCACCAAUUUGAAGAGCAGCGAACGGGUGAGUAACGCGUGGGGAAUCUGCCUUUGAGCGGGGGACAACAUUUGGAAACGAAUGCUAAUACCGCAUAACAACUUUAAACAUAAGUUUUAAGUUUGAAAGAUGCAAUUGCAUCACUCAAAGAUGAUCCCGCGUUGUAUUAGCUAGUUGGUGAGGUAAAGGCUCACCAAGGCGAUGAUACAUAGCCGACCUGAGAGGGUGAUCGGCCACAUUGGGACUGAGACGCGGCCCAAACUCCUACGGGAGGCAGCAGUAGGGAAUCUUCGGCAAUGGACGAAAGUCUGACCGAGCAACGCCGCGGGAGUGAAGAAGGUUUUCGGAUCGUAAAACUCUGUUGGUAGAGAAGAACGUUGGUGAGAGUGGAAAGCUCAUCAAGUGACGGUAACUACCCAGAAAGGGACGGCUAACUACGUG
rnacentral:rRNA from 1 species